GAUGAACGCUGGCGGCGUGCCUAAUACAUGCAAGUCGAGCGAAUGGAUUAAGAGCUUGCUCUUAUGAAGUUAGCGGCGGACGGGUGAGUAACACGUGGGUAACCUGCCCAUAAGACUGGGAUAACUCCGGGAAACCGGGGCUAAUACCGGAUAACAUUUUGAACCGCAUGGUUCGAAAUUGAAAGGCGGCUUCGGCUGUCACCUAUGGAUGGACCAGCGUCGCAUUAGCUAGUUGGUGAGGUAACGGCUCACAAAGGCAACGAUGCGUAGCCGACCUGAAAGGGGGAGCGGCCACGCUGGGACUGAGACACGGCCCAGACUCCGACGGGAGGCAGCAGUAGGGAAUCUUCCGCAAUGGACGAAAGUCUGACGGAGCAACGCCGCGUGAGUGAUGAAGGCUUUCGGGUCGUAAAACUCUGUUGUUAGGGCAGAACAAGUGCUAGUUGAAUAAGCUGACACCUUGACGGUACCUAACCAGAAAGCCACGGCUAACUACGUGCCAGCAGCCGCAGUAA
rnacentral:rRNA from 1 species